rnacentral:rRNA from 1 species
GUUGACCUCGGAUCAGGUAGGGAUACCCGCUGAACUUAAGCAUAUCAAUAAGCGGAGGAAAAGAAACCAACCGGGAUUGCCUCAGUAACGGCGAGUGAAGCGGCAACAGCUCAAAUUUGAAAUCUGGCUCUUUCGGAGUCCGAGUUGUAAUUUGCAGAGGGUGUUUCGGGCGUGAGACUUGUCUAAGUCCUUUGGAACAAGGCGU